UAGAUAGAGGUUCAGCCUUAGGGAGGCUGCAUUUUGGAGCUGGGACUCAGCUGAUUGUCAUACCUG